CCCCCUCCCCUCUCUCAUCUUCUUCCUCCUCAAACCCUUGCAGCCAUCACCACUCAAAACCCUAGCCGCCCCCCCCCCAUUUUCUCCCUCCCCUCCAACGUGCAGCCCUCCCGCGUGUUUCUCCGUCGUGUGGCUGCGAUCUCAAUUGGAGUUUGGAGGGAGGAAGAAGGAAGGAGGAAGGGAAGAUCCCAAGGUGAAUUUGUGAUUAACUUUUGUUGUUUUUGUGCUGCAAAUAAUUUGAUUAUGUGUUUAUCUAUGCGAAUCGGUAGAGGUGCUGUCCAGAAAUUUUGUGAGUGGGCGAACAGCAGUAGUUCUAGAGGUUUCUGGGAAUUUUCGUGGGUUAAUAAGUGGGAAUCAGUGGGAGAAUCAUGUAGAGCUUUGUCAUACCUUUUCAACGAGUACUUAUGCGCUCGAUUCGGAGUUAUAAUUUAGGAGAUAUCGUUGUUUGAAUCCGAGUAUGUUGCUGUAAAAAAACAGAUUUUUCAGGUGGGCGAACAGCAGUAGUAUUAGCAGUUUCUAGGAAUUUUUCGUGGGUAAUUAGUGAUAACCAGUAUGAGAAUCAUGUAGGGCCUUGUCUUAUCUUUCCAACGAGUACUUAUGCGCUUGAUUCGGAAUUAUAUUUUAAAAGAUAUCGCUGUUUGAAUCCGGGUAUGUCGCUGCCCAAAAGAAAAAAAACAGAUUACAAGGCUUAUCUUGUGGAUGUCUUGGGCUAAUUAAAUGUUGGAAUUUAAUUAUAAAUUAUAUACAAAACUUGUGGGUAAUUUUAUGUAGAUGCCUCUGAUGUUUUUGUUUGUUACCACUGCUGUCAUAAUUUUAAAGUUAUGAAAUUAUUAAGCAGCGCCGCUGCAGUUUGGUCGGUGCGGGGAGAGUUGUUACCCGCGGCGGGGUUUGAGAUUGUGCGUAGGUGCGACAUCGUUUAUGAGCCUUAUUAUGUGAAAUUGGUGCACUAAGUUGUGUGUCAAAAACAGGUGGUGGACUUCCGGAUCGUACUUAGGGAUUUGCCCAAACUACCGGUGAAGGCAAGUAAAACAGUGAUGGUUAUUCCAUCUAUCGAUUGAAGAGUCUUAUACUUGAUUAUGUUUGUGCUAUUUGUGUUCGUAUUCAUAUUCCUAAUUGGGUACCGUCGUUUGAAGUUAUUCAUGUUUUAUUGAUUAUACAUGUUGAGGUUGUGGUCUGAUCAUGUUACCCAUGUGGUUUAUUAUGUGAAGUGGGUGGAAGUAUAUGUCUAGCACAUUUUAUUUGGGAAGAACUCAUGUUGUUGACAUGCAUAAUGCAUUCAUCAUCCAUUGCAUUGAAGUUCCGUUGCGAUCUUAUGGUCCGACCGUACCGGUACAAUGAGCAUCAUAUGUUGCCCGAGAAGGGGUAUGAUGCAGUUUCAUAUCCUUAGAGGUAUGAAGGCAGAAGUCAUACUGCAUCUAUAGCCAUGUGCAUUCAUGGGAGAAGUGUGGAACCUAUUAUGGUGAUGUGGAUAAUGUGGAUCUUUACUUUGUGAUUCAUCUUGGCAUUAAGUAAUUGAUUACUUGCUUACUUGCUGCAAAUUAAUAUUUAAGAAAGAAGUUGUGAACUACAUGGUUGCUUAUGCAUGGUUGGUUUACAUUGUCCAACUGUUGUUUGCUCUUUUUACUUGCUGAGAUGUGUCAUCUCACUCUUGCAUUGUCUGAUGCAGGCACCUGAUCUUUGCUUUGGGAAAGAAGGGAUGUAGCAGCAUGGCCACCACACCUUUAAAUAAAGGAACCACUGCUUAAUAAAGAUGUUAAACAGGGAGGGUCAAGUCUAGGGGAUUAUUACAUUCUAACCUUUCAUGGUAGUUGAACUGUUUAGUUUGGUGGGUUGAGUUGUCUAUCUUUUGUUUGGUCAUGAAUGUUUAUUUCUACCGUUGCAUUUCGAUUAUACUAAGUCAAUUAUAUUUCUUUUAUAUCCUGUAUAAACUCUAUGUUUCCCUUGUUAUGCUUCUUUCAAGGGAGGUGCUGC
rnacentral:lncRNA from 1 species